UACGGAGGGGGCUAGCGUUGUUCGGAAUUACUGGGCGUAAAGCGCACGUAGGCGGACUGUUAAGUCGGGGGUGAAAUCCUGGGGCUCAACCUCAGAAUUGCCUCCGAUACUGGCAGUCUCGAGUGCGGGAGAGGUGAGUGGAAUUCCGAGUGUAGAGGUGAAAUUCGUAGAUAUUCGGAAGAACACCAGUGGCGAAGGCGACUUACUGGACGACUGUUGACGCUGAGGUGCGAAAGCGUGGG
rnacentral:rRNA from 1 species